GUCAAGAAUAUUCCGCAAUGGGCGAAAGCCUGACGGAGCGACGCCGCGUGCCAGAAGAAGCCCUUCGGGGUGUAAAUGGCUUUUAGUAGGGAAGAAUCCGUGACGGUACCUACUGAAUAAGGGGCUGCUAACCUCGUGCCAGCAGCAGCGGUAAUACGAGGGCCCCAAGCGUUAUCCGAAUUUACUGGGCGUAAAGAGUGCGUAGGCGGCUUGAUAAGUCUUUGGUCAAAUCAUGGGGCUCAACUCCAUGACUGCCAAGGAUACUGUUAGGCUUGAGGCUGGGAGAGGCAAGCGGAAUUGCUGGUGGAGGGGUUAAAUCCGUUGAUAUCAGCAAGAACACCAAAGGCGAAGGCAGCUUGCUAGAACAGCUCUGACGCUGUUGCACGAAAGCGUGGGUAGCGAAUGGGAUUAGAAACCCUUGUAGUCC
rnacentral:rRNA from 1 species